GAUGAACGCUAGCUACAGGCUUAACACAUGCAAGUCGCGGGGCAGCAUGGGGGUUGCUUGCAAUCCCCGAUGGCGACCGGCGCACGGGUGAGUAACGCGUAUCCAACCUGCCCUUCACCUCGGGAUAACCCGGCGAAAGUCGGACUAAUACCGUAUGUUGUCCAUUGACGGCAUCCGAUUUGGACGAAAGGUUUGGCGGUGAAGGAUGGGGAUGCGUCCGAUUAGCUGGACGGCGGGGUGACGGCCCACCGUGGCGACGAUCGGUAGGGGUUCUGAGAGGAAGGUCCCCCACACUGGAACUGAGACACGGUCCAGACUCCUACGGGAGGCAGCAGUGAGGAAUAUUGGUCAAUGGGCGUAAGCCUGAACCAGCCAAGUAGCGUGCAGGAUGACGGCCCUAUGGGUUGUAAACUGCUUUUAUGCGGGGAUAAAGUGGCCCACGUGUGGGUUUUUGCAGGUACCGCAUGAAUAAGGACCGGCUAAUUCCGUG
rnacentral:rRNA from 1 species